CCUGAGAUAACGGGAAAGAGCAGAGUGCUGCAGAAGAAAGCCUGGUGGCCACCGCGCCAACGGAGGGCAGAGAUGAUUUCCUCCUUCAGAGAAGAGCAGAUGAGAUCUGAAGAAUGAGAUAACACAUCCCAGACGAUCUGCGCUAAGGAGUGAGCCGGAUUGUAGCCCAUGUCUUUCUUGAGUCAAUCCUGCCACUUCACUGAGAUAUGAGCAAUGGUUAACAUCCAGGACAGAUACAAAUCUGGUGUUACCGUUCAGAGAGCAAUAGGACGCAGAACAAAUGUCAAAUGUGAGGAUGUGGCGCCGAGAGACAAUUAUUCGCUUGGUCUAUGCGUGGACCGUGCACAGGGGUCAGCAAACUCACUUGUUCUGGGCUCACAGUAGAACUCAGCCCUUUCCUACCUGUAUGAGUUGCACUGACUGGUGGUUUACUUAAUGUAUACAAUGAAGACAGUGGCCAUGUCCUCCUCUUAGCACCGCUAUGCAGCUAUAUAAACUAAGACACUGAUAAAGUUCACAGAGCUGUCUGGUAUACAGGAAAUUCUGAGAAAUACAAGGAGUAUGAAGAACAUGCACGUGUAUAUGGUAUUUUGUCUAGAGUAAGUAUUCACUACUAUUCUCAACCGCUCUUCGCUUCUCCGGUGGGGUAAGCUGGUGCAUCAAAGCACGAUAAAGACUAGUUGAUGGUUAUUACUCAUAUGUCAUGUCUGGGGUUAUUGUUAUUAUUCAUAUAUCAUGUCUGGGGUUGGUUUCCGUUCAAUGGAGUGUCUUUUUGCAACUGUCCUUAGAUAAACAGUGUGGACUGUAGCUCACUCUGGCAUCAGGGUUUUAAGGAAUGUUUUCUGUGGACAUCUCAGUCCAGCACUGUGAGACUCGAGGAAACAGAAUCUCAUUUAAAAGACCCGACAGGAUUAAAAUCCUAAAGGAAAAAGCUAUCUGACACCGUGAACAGUUCGUAGAAAAAUUCUCGUGAAGGCCCGAGACUUCUCAGGACAUGCAUUCUUGCACAAAACAACUGUUGAUUAUCAAAGCAAGUUGUGACAACUGACUGACACAGGCAGCGUGAAGAUUCUAGUGUCUGUCUCCAUAGACCACCAUGAAGCAAAAAGCGGAGGCACACAGACAGCGUCUCCUGAGGGUAGCCCAAGAAACAGACACAAAAAAAGUACUGGCAAUUCUUCCUGUGGCUGCUGGGGAUCAUUUAUUGUUUUCCUUCAUUUUAAUGUCUCUUCUCUUUUGCUUCUUGGUAGAGACGUUUCUUGGGGGACGCAGGAAGCAAGGCCCAGCCCUGGGAAAGCAGUGUAGGAUAGAGUUGGGGGCACACCACUCAGGGCUCUUGGAGGGCCUUACAGUAACUGGAAGUCGGAGCCUAGGCUGAGGUCCAUGAAGCAGGGUCACAGUAAGGACUAAUUUGGAGCCAGAAACUCACAGCUCUAAGCAUCUUUCACUUCUUGUGAGGGGGGCCUGACAGGUGCAGGGAUGGGAGAUGGCUGUUGGGUUCCAGGCCAAGUCGUGGAUCCACUCAACUGCUAUUUACUAUUAAAUAUUAUGCCUAGUGCUUGCCAAAGGUAAGCAUGAACACCAUACACUGUCUGCAUGAAGCCUGUGGGCUGGUGGUAAAGAGAAUGCUGACCAAAAUUUGUGUAUUGCACAUUAUGAGAUGUGUUCUAGAGGGGAUGCUGAGGAACUGCUGAAGAGAGGGCCAGAUAUGACAAGUGUUCUCUAAACUGAGAACUGAAAGGCCAAAGUGUGUGUGUGUUUGAUGGACUGUGUGAGUCGUACACAUAUGUUGGCUGUACGGUACACAUGGCAUGCGGUUAUAUGUGUUGUGUUUGGAAUGCUCACGUGUAUCUAGUCUGUGUGUGGUGAGUCGGUACGUGUGUUGGGGGAGGAAGAUAUAAGGACGCCAGAGGAAAGGAAUACGCCAUGGGGAAGAAGCACAUUCCAUCUGGGAACUUGCAUGUGGCUUCCCAAGCUGGAGCCCAGCGUGAGCAUGAGUGGGAGUUGGGGAGGUGAGAAAAGAUGAAGCAGGAAGCAGUGGGUAGAAGGCAGACACAGAGAACAGCGAGACUGAAGUUAGGGACACGGAUGGUCUUCACUGUUGCAUGAAGAGACUAACACGUCUGCUUCACGCGUGGCAGUCCGUUAGGUGCCACCAUUCCCUUCCAAUGCCACAUUACCAAUUUUAUUGUUGUCUGUAUGACUUGCUUAAAAGUCCUGGCAGAAUUCUGAUUCUGGGUCUGUGUGGCUUAGUCUACAUUCCCAAGCAACCAGGUAGGUUUAGAUUAGGGAUGGUGGUUAGGAUGAAGUUUAAAUUUCCAGCAGAACUGAAUUUAUUAAAAUAAGCAACCUUGGUGGGUUUCAAUAUGGAGAACCCAUGCCCACCCGCAACAGAGUGAGUUAAGAUACCAAAUGAGUGUACCGUGUCUUUGCAGAACAACAGCCUUGAGCUCAUCAGAGUUGGAUGGUCAUUGAGUUAUAUGGCAGGGAAUGGAAAAAUUGUAGCUUUAGCAAAGAAAAGAAGACUACAGAAUCAGGUUAGAGUAAGAAAGAGCAUAACAGAAAAGGGUUGUUUUCUCUUUUUUUCCUUUAAAUUGCCUUUAAAAAAAAAACAAGUUGUUUUUAGAAUCUUUCCCCAGCAUGCUCCUCAUUGAGAAAGUCAACUGGAAUAUGGAAGCAAGAAGGAAUAAACUAAGGACUAAAGAAUUGUCUCUCAACGACAGGCGCUUCUGUCUAUAUGAACUAGCAGAUGUUGCCACAGCGCUCUCCCUGUGUUGGUGGAUCUGCAGUUGGAAGGUAACAGAAACAGCGUUUGCCUCGUUCCCAUGAUGGGCCAUAGAUUCUGAGAAGGUUCUCUGGGAGACGGACUCCUGGUGAGCUUUAGCUCCCAAAGCUGUUCUUCCACCUCUCCUAGCCUUGCCUGGUCACAGAACUCUCAACGGGCAAGGAUGAGGCUGGGGGCAGGCAGCGCAGAAGGCAGCCAUCAGGAGAGACGGUAUGUGCUCUCGGAGUAGUCACUGGAGACAUUCUUACAUCUAGAGUUCACUGUGGGCCAUGGAACUAGUUCCUGGGGAAGCUGAAUGUCCUGGACCCAGCUGAUGGGCAUGGGAUAGCUAAGGGAGCCUCUCAGAUUCCAGGCAUUCCACAAGCUUCCAGAAACCUGCAGUCAGGAAGUUUGCCCCCACCCAGGGUUACAUUCCUGAGUUCCGUAUGUGGCCUGGAGAAGUAGUUUAAAUUAAAGAUUAAGAAUAGACCCAGACCAGGAACCAUACCACUAGGUUUUCCCGUCCAGAUCUCCUCUUGUUGCUGGGGGCACUUAGGAAGUGUGAAAUCCUGCUUCCAUUAGUUCCAUAGGCAGAUGCAGAUACUGUUGCUAGACUUCAUAGCUUCUCAACAAGAAUUUGAAGUUAAUUCAUACAAAAUGCUUUAGUUGGCACAAAGACAAAAAGUUGGCACAUAGCAAGCACUAUCUAAGCUUUAUUAUAAUAAUUACCAUCAGCAUCACAAUUAACCCCUUCUUUACUCAAUGGGUAAUGAUAUAUAUUUUAAAAUGGUGCUCUACUGCACGCAUAGUUUCUCCACAGCUGGGAUUCUGUCUGGGCUGUGCAUCAAGCUCUUUAACCCUUCGUUACUCCUAUUCUCACACCAGGUGCCAACUUUGGAUAUUUAUCUUUUCAAAGAGCCUUAGAUCUGUCUGUCUUUAAUAUCUGUCUCCUCUGCCGAGACUUGCCAGGGCUGGCUCACACGGCGUGACUCACCCAGAGUUAAAGCAGUUAGUGUUACAGUUGGAAAGUCCUGAUUGUGGCUUUCUCCCCAGAUGGCCGUGGGAACUUUUACUGGUACCUUAUAAAGCCUAUGUCUUGGUUUUCUCAUCUAUGAAAUGAGAGCAAUUCUACUCUAUGGUGUCAAUGUCUUCUAACAGUUGUUAGAGCCUGAGGGACAGCAGAAGUUGCUCCAAAAAUAUACAUAAAAGGCUGAGUACUGUUUUUCUAAAUCUAUGUUCUUGAAUCGUCCCAAUCUGGUGAAAGCAAGAAGCCACAUAAAACAACAGUUACAGUAAAAGGUGACUUUGAGGACGUCUGCUAUGAGAAGUUGGUCUAGCCAGGUGUGAGGACUGAGUUCAAACUAAUUAGGACUAGGAGGGUUUGUUUAUUAAGGGCUGACAGUACAGUGGCUCAGAACUGAAACCCCUCAUCUGACAGACUAUCACCAUCUCGAUCCUUGUACUGCAAGUAGCUCAGCAGGUAAUUUCAAAGAGGCUCGACUGGCUGGCUGGGCCAGAUGUUUGCAGCCUCAGUUUCCCCGUCAUUUCAAACUCUUGUCAAGGUCUGUGAGGCAGAGGUAGCAUGGGGUGGGAAACUGGCUGUGAUGUGAAAGGGAAGCUACAUUUUUACAGGUUCAUUAUUCUUAGGGAUCAGAGUCAGGUGGGUUGACCUUAACAUCUGCCUGGAACUCUUGCAAGUAAGAGUGUGGGGAGUGGCUUGGUUACUUACAUCAGAACUUAAUUCACAACAUUAACAAUGGGCCCCAAACAGCUCUGCUGAAGGCAACUGACACAUCAGGCUUUUAGCUUUGUUUUGAAUUUAAAUAAACUAAUUGAGCCACAUGAGUUCUUAUAUUAUUAGCUCCAACCACACAACACAGCAGAUAAAACACAAACACACAAGGGGGCUGCAGCCAGAAGGACGCUGGAGGCUUGGGAGUAAAUGAUAACCAGAUCUUCCACCAAAAGGGAAAAUGUUCCACGUCGCAGGCAUAGUGUACAAAUCUAAGAAAGGUCCUCUCUGCUCAUUACUUGGUUCAAUUGAUACGACCAUUCAUCUUGUAUAGACCGUAUAUGCACUAAUUUCCGGGUAAAUAGCAAAACUGUUAUACUUGUUAAAGAUAUUAGCAUGGUAUAGCUGCAGGUGUCUCUCUUCUGGGGCAUGCUCCUCUUCCUAUGCCACUUCUCAGGUGUGGAAGAAAUAGGCAGGAAGCUCUGAGGAAGAUUAGCAACAGAGUGCACCUACUGCCCUUGGGAACACACAUAGGUGUGUGCAUCUGCUGCCCUUGGGGACACAUAGGUGUGUGCACCUGCUGCCCUUGGGGACACAUAGGUGUGUGCACCUGCUGCCCUUGGGGACACAUAGGUGUGUGCACCUGCUGCCCUUGGGGACACAUAGGUGUGUGCACCUGCUGCCCUUGGGGACACAUAGGUGUGUGCAACCUGCUGCUUUUUCAGCCCAGAAAGCCGUACAGGUGUCAUUUUCCCGCCUAUACCAACUGUGGUAUACAACCAAGGUGCUCCAUAGGGCUGAGGCACUAACCUGGAGAGAGCAGACUGACAUUGCUGCUUCUCUGCAGCUGCGUUUAGGGCAGAUAUCCGUGCUAGAGGGCUGGGGGAAAUGGAGGCUGCGGGUCUAGGGUGUGCUCUUCAGGAAGGCUGUGGCAGAUUCACUGAAUGCCAAGGAACUGCCCGCCUCGUUGGAGACUAGUGGUGUUGGCACAUGCCUUUAUUUUCGUGACAAUUUUAGGUAAAUGAAUUAAAAAUAAUAAAUGGAGAAGAAAGGUAGGAGUCAAAGCACUUGCAUCUGCCAUCUCAAAGCCUAUGUGAGCACAGGUCCUUGAAAUAAAUUGUGACUGCCUGGCGGCUUUGGCUUCCCACACUGUGUUGCCUCAUGGUGGGGAAGAGCAUUCACUGUUGCCUUGACUGUCGAGCUCCUCCUCCUCCUCCUCCCCUCCUCUCCCCCUCCUCCUCCUCCUCCUCUUCCUCCUCCUCCUCCUCAUUUUAUAAGUUAGAACUGGAAACCUGCCAGUCUGGAGAAAUCAGUAAAACCAAAAAUAACGCCCGAGUUCUCUGGAGAUUCAGGGAAACAAAUUUCCGGGCAACAAUUGCCUCCUUUGAAAAUUUUCCCACUUCUAUUUUUUUUUUUUCAACUAAAAUGUACGUGUCUUCUGAGUCAUGUGGGGUGUUUGUUAGUGUAGACCACGAUACCUAUCAACCUAACAAGAAACCUGUCUAGUAGCGACCUGUCUGUCUAGUGGCGACGCAUGGCUUUUUUUUCUGGCGCAGUGCUCAUAAAUGUGUGCAGUGCCGGGGGGGGGGGGGGGUGGUGGUGAAGAAGGGUGCAUGAAAUAUUCACAGCAUGGCUCCAGGGAUCUUGCUGUGGGGGAGGGGAGCCCUCUUUUGCUCCUUCAUUUGCAGAGACCACAGCGCUGAAGCCGACCUCAUGCAGUGAAGGUCACCAAUGGACUUCUUCCUUCCCCCUUCCCACGAGAACAUGCUAACCCUAUCAUGUGCCAUACACUAUGCCAUGAAAUGGUAAGUAAGAUUCAGAGUGUUGAAACGCCAGGCACAAUGGCACACGCUUGUAAUUCUGGUGCAGGGGACAUGGGGACAGGUAAGUGGAACUUCGGGGGGCCUAUGGCUAGCCAGCCUAGACUACUUGGAGAUUUUCUGACCCAUAAGGCAUGCCGUAUCGAAAUACAACAUAGAUGGCAACUGAUAUUCUUCCUUGGACUCCACAUGUGCACAUACACAUGAACACAAACACAUGAACACAAACUCUCUCUCUCUCUCUCUCUCUCUCUCUCUCUCGCACGCGCGCGCGCGCACACACACACACACACACACACACACACACACACACACCAGCUUCGCAAUGGUGAAUGGGUGAAUGUCACGGAGGGUUAAAUACCAUUCAAACACACUGCCAGGAACUUGCCAGCCUUAGCAGAAAGGGCUGGUCAUGACGUUACAGCCCUAAUCAGAUUACGCAGUUAAGGGCACAGGGUCCUGGUAGGAAGUCAGAAGUGGCUAUUUGAAGAAUAAAUGUUUAGCUAAUGCUGGCCACCAUUUUAUCACCAAUUGUUACCAACUCUAAAGGCUGGUCAUUCUCCAAGGACGGGCUGUCUAUUCAGAGGUACGCCACAACCACACAACCCCUGCUACGUGGUUAUCAGGCAGGUUAAUCACCUGCCUCAGAGUGAGGGGAGGGGUACUUCUGGAACUCAUAGACAGACAGACAGACAGACAGCCUUAAAGGCUGACAUUUAGCAAGUAUGCACUGGUGUGUCUGUGCCAUUUAUUAAAACACAGGGAAUACAGUUUUAGACAGAAAAUAGGCACAUUCCCAAGCCAGAUGCUGUUAAGUAUCUCUGCCACUCCUCUGUCCACACACACCAAUGCCACCUCCAAAUUUUGGUACUGACCAGUGCAGGACCUCAGCCAUCAGACAGUUAAACUCAACCUAUCAGGGAGCCUUCAAUACGGAGGUUCCUUGCGUUCUGAUUGGCUGAUGUUCAAUAGAUAGGUACUUAAGGUAACUCGACUGAAUACCACAUAUUUGUGAUAAAGUCACAAUGCAUGAUUGUUCCUUGUACUGUAGGUGUGAAUGCUUUCAGGAAGGGGAAGGGACAGUGCUAAGGGAAAGGGUGGGCUAAGGGGGAAGAAAGACAUGAGGAGAGGGGAGAAAUACUAGAAAAUAAGAAAGCACAGAGACAUUUCAACAGUGCCAUCAUGCUGAAUCACAGAAGAAAAGAAACACUCUUCUCAGGUUGCUUUGGACCACUCAGUGGUCUGGCAAUGACCUACAGAUGCAGCUGAAGUAGAGGGAGCCUGCGCUUUGUUCAGAAAAACCAGGCUGGGUAGGUGCAGGGCAGGCAUGGCUUGCACCAUAGCACAGGCUGGGGCACUGUCUGGAGAAGAAGUGUGGCAGUUACAGGGGACGUGGGGUCGGGGCUUAGUGGUGUGUGCAUCCCUUUACCCAUCCCACAGAUGGUUUCUGAACAUCUGUUUAAUACCAGAAGCUGGGGUGGAACUGCACACAGGACGGGACGCUGUGGCCUUGUCCUUGACGGAAAUAGCAGGGAGUUAUGUAAUACUGCACCUAUCAUGUUGCAGGCAGUUUCUAAGCACUUUUCAAAGAUCAUUCCUACUUAAUCUUUACUACAAGCUCUUAAAGAGGUACUGUUAAUAGCCCUGUUUUAUGGGAUGGAACAGAGGCACGGGGAGGUGAGGGUAACAACGUCCCAAGGCCAUGCAGCUCAGAAGCAGCAGACCUGUGCUUCCAUCCAGGCAGACUGGCCUCAGAUCCCUUCUGUCACCCCCUCUGCAGAAUCAGCCCUCUGCAGAGCCAUUUUUAAGAGACUCACAAUGAAACAAUCACAUCACACCUAGCAGAAUAGUCUUCACACACUGUUACAUUGUUACACUAUUAUUACAGCUUCACAACACCCGCGUGACUGCUACCCCAACUUAAGGGUAAGGAAGGAAGGGUUUCAGAGAGACUUCAGGGACUUUCCAAGGUCAAGUCAAAGUCAAAGAUCAAACAGUGUGUUUUGAUCUGCCAUUACUAAACCACGAACCUUGUACAUUGCCUCUUGGGGCUGGUGGAAGAGGUUCCCGAGUAACAGAUUUUUGGCUCCACAUUUGAAAGCUAGUUUAAGGAGAACAGAUGACGUGAUAUUAUUAUGAACUUUUGGGUAGGCAUAACACUGGCUCAGCAAUGUUCUACAUUGAAUUGUAUUUCCAUGAAAAAGAUAAACUGAGGUCCUAAUACCUACUACCUCUGGAAGUGACAGUGACCUUAACUGGAGCUCACUGAAGACUAAACGGACACCAGGUGCUUAGCUGAGCUGAUCCAGCAUGACUGCCGACUGUCUGAGCUCCUUUACGUUUCAUUUACAUUUUUUUCCUAACCAGUAAGAAUUGUGCCUGCACAUACUGGGCAAGUCUAGUGUUUCACCAUCAAGCUACAUCCUCCCAGACCUCACCUGACUUCGUAAAACAAAGAAAAAGCAAGCGUGAGAAAAGAUCUCACCAAGUUGUCUGUCUGCCUCGGCGGGCACUGAAUUUGUGAUCCUCCUGCCUCAGCUUUCAGAGUAGCUGGGAGUACAGGCCCAUGCCAUCCCAUCCAGCUACUUGUCAAACGGGAGAUCUGUACAGAGGGAAUGGGGUGAGGAAUAGGAAGGGGAUGGUGACUCUAAGGCAGGGAACAUCUGCGGUCCCCAGACAGGUGAGAGGCAGAAAAGUGAUUCUUCCUGGAGGUGUGAGAGGGACCAUGACUUUGCUGAUGUUGACUUUGGACUGCCGGAGUGGAUUUCCAUUGCUUUACGCCAUCCUGUCUCCAGUUCUUGUUAUAGCAGCUGCAGAAGCUAACAACCUCUAAGAAACACACUUUCUUUCUGGGAAUGGAGAGUCCCAUCCCUACGGUGUCUGGCUCUGCAGAUAGACUCCUUUCUUUAAUUAACUUGGGUAAUGAGAUCAUCUUGCUUGUUUAGAAAUAAAUGACCACUGUUUGUAAAUCUUUAUCAAGCCCAGUGAUUUUUCUACCAAUGAAACUAGUCGGUCUAAAAGCUACCCAACUUUUCAUAUGGAAAAUCUAAUAGGAGAGGUUUAUUUUAGGAGCAGACAGUGUUUCACUGAGGAGCUCAUUAGCAAUUCAGGAAGGCCUACUGAGUCUCCGAAGAUCUGCUCUCCAAGAGAAAUGUUGGGAUAAUUCUUAAAUUCUGAUGACAGACAGUGACUCGAUAAAAAAUGGUCCUUGGUAUUAAAGUUGUAUAGGAGGAGGGAGCCCGCCAGUAAAACGGAAGGGAAAGCGAACAGAUAAAUUCAGGGGGGCAACAUUCUGCGGUUACCGUGCACACACGAGCCAGGCACUUGUACAAUCUCAACCUGGAGGUGAGGCCACCUUCAAGGGUAGCUUGAAACAGGGAGAUGGCGGAAGGAAAGAGAAAUGGGAAGACACUCGCCUGCUUAGGCACCGCCUACUGCUGCGGUCAUCUAACACAAUGAUUUCUCCUUAUCCUGAUCAAGGUCCAAGUUCCUAGGACAGCAUGACCCAGAAGUGACCCUGACUUUCUGUCCUGGAUGUGCAGCCUUGGUGCCCCAGUGUUGAAAAAAACAAAGCAAAACAAAACAAACCCACAGGGUUACUUUGCUGGCCUUGCUCUUCUGCCUCCCACCAGCCAUGUCUACAUACUGGAGAGCGGAAACUUACGUGUGAAUAUUCCACGUGGCUUCUUCUGUCUUUGCUACCAAGUGUGGGGAGCUUGAUUACCACAGAACACCCUGGUUACACACCAUGUUUUCUUUCUCAAAGCCCAUCUAGACUCCUCUUGCUGUGGCCCAUCUGGACACAGCAUCUGUGGCCGUUUCUCAGACUUCUUGCUCUUGACUGUUUCUCUGAGAUGGAUGGACCCAGACAACUGUGUUCACCACCAUCAAACUUGAUGGAAUCCAAACAAACACGGAGCAAAACAUCACUCCCUCUCCCUCUUCAGACUUUUGGGUGAACUGGAAUAAAUCUUCCUAACAUUGGGACCCAUCCAUUGUUAAGAGUUGGGUAUUUGAGAACAGUCCAGAAAUUGCCUGUCAAACUGAUCUAUUUGCAAACUGAACUGAUUCGUUGUUAAAGAGAAUAAUACUUUUGAAAAAGAGCAUUAUACAUACAUACAUACAUACAUACAUACAUAUAUACAUACACAGACACAUAUGUAUAUGGUAGUGAUUCUUGAUAACAUUUGUUGACUGAAUUACAACAAAUACACACCGUUUUGUUACUAAUCAUUAAAUGGUUCUUUUCAGCUGCAUCCUUGAAAUUAUGCUAAAUGUUUUGCUUAGUAGUAUGAAGACACCUCCACUUGACAGAUGGCAGAACAAGGUCCUGCACAGGCUAUGUCACAUACCCUUACAAAUACAAGUAGAAAGAGGCAAAGCCAAGAUGUGAGCACAGCACAGUGACCCCAGAGCCCUGUUCUUGGCUCCUGUCCUGUCAUAUGUUCAUAUCAUCACUGGAAAUUACACCGAUUCAAAUCUUGCAACGCACCAAGCACAGUGCUAAGUGCUUUACAGAGAUGGCCACAGAUUCACAAUUAGUCUGCGUGGUGGGGCUUAUUUUUCAGUUUCAAGUAUAGGAGCCAAGAUGCAUGGAGGUUAACUUGCCCAGCGUCAUAUGCUGUAGUGUGUGUAAGGGGAAGGUCCCAGAUCUCAUCCCACUCAGCCUAGCUUGAGCACCUGCUCUGAAUAUCUAUCAUUGGUUCCUGCCAUGUGUCUGGAACCAUGCUAGGGUCAAGGGCAGACGACAACAAAAAAUGAGAUGCUCCCACCCACGAGGAACUCUAGAUACACAGACCUGUAAUCUGUAGACAUGGGCAUGGAAAGGAAGGACAGCGUAAUGAUAAGUUAUAUGUGAGUCUAACAUUAGCCGGAAGGGUCCAUAUAACUUCAUAAAUCAUGCAUCUUUACAAAUUCAAUUAAAAUGAUGGAGUAUAUUUUAUAAGUCUGGUUGGAUUUUAAUACGUCAAACUAACCAUCAGAGAGAACGACCCUACCAGGCUGUUCUGCCCUUUUUUUUAAUUUACUGGAGCUGAAGGUGCUGAUAACAGGCUCUGGCCUGUCCCAUUAGGGCAAAUCUGAGGCCCUAGAUUUCAGGCAUGCAAACCCGGAGUAACUCUAGUUAUUCUUACACUUGUACCUUUUAGACAUCCAUCAGUGUUUUCUUUACUAAUAGCCAACACCUAGAAGGAGGUGUCUCUCAUUGAUUGCUGGGUAACAAUCUCCUCUCCUUUCUCCCAUUUUGAACUGUCUGCCAAAGUCUAGCUCAGCUGACCUGUCUCCACAUGAUGGACGCCCCACCCAAUCCCUAGGCUUCUUGAGAAGGCAGACAACCUGUGUUUCUGCGCACUUCUCCCUUUGCAUGUCUGGAUGGCACUUGAUCCCACGGUCAGUGCUGACCAGGCUACCAUCAGUGUCGAUGCCAGAUUCCAUCUUGGAUGUACUCUCUAAGCUCCUUGCAAGCAGAAACUCACUCAAACUUCCAGGAACAGCCAACAGCAAGGAACACAUGGCCCCAAUGACUCCUGAGUCUGUGUUUGCUGAAUAGAUGAGUUUUGAAAGACAGAUUUCUCAAGGCAAGAACUUUGUAAACUUUGGGGGAUGAGUGAGACCAACGGAUGAAUGAAGAGAUCGUGAGCAUGACCUGAAGGCUGUGUCUGCUCUUGGCAGCCCUUCUAUUAUGUACAGGAGGAUUUGUCCUCCAUUAAACCAAAGGUACUAUUGCCAAAAGAUUAUUUUUUAAAAAAGAUUCAAGUAUUCCAACAAGGAUAGAAGUUCCCAUUUUAUCAACAAUGAAACCAUCUACAUACCAAUACAAUGGCUUUUAAAUAGUAGCAUGGGUUUCACUAUGUCCAGUGUCUUACAUACACUGCUUCUGUUUCUUACAACAACCUUGGGACCCUGUCUUCUCAUCUCUGUUCUGCAUGUGGAGUGAGCCAACGUUGGAAAGGAAAUGGCUUAAGGUUCCAUGCCUUGAACUAUCUAUGCUGCUGAAGAUGACCUUGAACUUCUGAUCCUCCCGCCUCUACCCCAUUCCCCACACAAGUAUAAACAAGUGUGCAGACCACACCCUGUGUAGCUCUGGGUAUGAACCCUGGGGCUUUGUAUGUGCAAGGCAAACAUUCUCCGGAACUGAGCAACACCCCCAACCCUCCUCAAGUUCCUUUGUCUUUUCAGUUUUGGCUGGGCUCCAUUAUCAGACUGCCAGUUUCAUUUUUUUUUCCUGCUCUGUCCCCCAGGCAGAGGAGAAUGAGCCCCAAGGGGACAAAAAUGGGUAGGAAAAGAAGGCAGGGCCACGGAGCACUGCCGUCUAGCACUCAGACUGAUCAUUCAGCUUCUGGUUUUACAUUUUAAGCUAACGCAUGGGGUGAGCCUCUAGCCUGGCAAGCACAAGGUUGACCAGGAACCACCACACUUGAAAAGUGGGUCGGACCAGGAUGUCUACUUUCAGGUCCAAAGUCCUGAGGCUCGGGCAUUUACCUCCUUUUUUUAAAAUUAGGUAUUUAUUUCAUUUACAUUUCCAAUGCUAUCCCAAAAGUC